rnacentral:rRNA from 1 species
GGGUUGUGAGGUUAAGCGACUAAGCGUACACGGUGGAUGCCCUGGCAGUCAGAGGCGAUGAAGGACGUGCUAAUCUGCGAAAAGCGCCGGCGAGGUGAUAUGAACCUUUGACCCGGCGAUGUCCGAAUGGGGAAACCCAGUGCAAUUCGUUGCACUAUCGUUAACUGAAUACAUAGGUUAACGAGGCGAACCGGGGGAACUGAAACAUCUAAGUACCCGAGGAAAAGAAAUCAACCGAGAUUCCCCCAGUAGCGGCGAGCGAACGGGGAGCAGCCCAGAGUCUGAAUCAGCUUGUGUGUUAGUGGAAGCGUCUGGAAAGUCGCACGGUACAGGGUGACAGUCCCGUACACGAAAGCACACAGGUUGUGAACUCGAAGAGUAGGGCGGGACACGUGGUAUCCUGUCUGAAUAUGGGGGGACCAUCCUCCAAGGCUAAAUACUCCUGACUGACCGAUAGUGAACCAGUACCGUGAGGGAAAGGCGAAAAGAACCCCGGCGAGGGGAGUGAAAAAGAACCUGAAACCGUGUACGUACAAGCAGUGGGAGCACCUUCGUGGUGUGACUGCGUACCUUUUGUAUAAUGGGUCAGCGACUUAUAUUCUGUAGCAAGGUUAACCGUAUAGGGGAGCCGAAGGGAAACCGAGUCUUAACUGGGCGUUAAGUUGCAGGGUAUAGACCCGAAACCCGGUGAUCUAGCCAUGGGCAGGUUGAAGGUUGGGUAACACUAACUGGAGGACCGAACCGACUAAUGUUGAAAAAUUAGCGGAUGACUUGUGGCUGGGGGUGAAAGGCCAAUCAAACCGGGAGAUAGCUGGUUCUCCCCGAAAGCUAUUUAGGUAGCGCCUCGUGAAUUCAUCUUCGGGGGUAGAGCACUGUUUCGGCUAGGGGGCCAUCCCGGCUUACCAACCCGAUGCAAACUACGAAUACCGAAGAAUGUUAUCACGGGAGACACACGGCGGGUGCUAACGUCCGUCGUGAAGAGGGAAACAACCCAGACCGCCAGCUAAGGUCCCAAAGUCAUGGUUAAGUGGGAAACGAUGUGGGAAGGCACAGACAGCCAGGAUGUUGGCUUAGAAGCAGCCAUCAUUUAAAGAAAGCGUAAUAGCUCACUGGUCGAGUCGGCCUGCGCGGAAGAUGUAACGGGGCUAAACCAUGCACCGAAGCUGCGGCAGCGACGCGUAUGCGUUGUUGGGUAGGGGAGCGUUCUGUAAGCCGUUGAAGGUGUCCUGUGAGGGGUGCUGGAGGUAUCAGAAGUGCGAAUGCUGACAUAAGUAACGAUAAAGCGGGUGAAAAGCCCGCUCGCCGGAAGACCAAGGGUUCCUGUCCAACGUUAAUCGGGCAGGGUGAGUCGACCCCUAAGGCGAGGCCGAAAGGCGUAGUCGAUGGGAAACAGGUUAAUAUUCCUGUACUUGGUGUUACUGCGAAGGGGGGACGGAGAAGGCUAUGUUAGCCGGGCGACGGUUGUCCCGGUUUAAGCAUGUAGGCGGAGGUUCCAGGUAAAUCCGGUACCUUUUAACGCUGAGGUGUGAUGACGAGGCACUACGGUGCUGAAGUAACAAAUGCCCUGCUUCCAGGAAAAGCCUCUAAGCAUCAGGUAACAUCAAAUCGUACCCCAAACCGACACAGGUGGUCAGGUAGAGAAUACCAAGGCGCUUGAGAGAACUCGGGUGAAGGAACUAGGCAAAAUGGUGCCGUAACUUCGGGAGAAGGCACGCUGAUAUGUAGGUGAAGCCCCUGCGGGUGGAGCUGAAAUCAGUCGAAGAUACCAGCUGGCUGCAACUGUUUAUUAAAAACACAGCACUGUGCAAACACGAAAGUGGACGUAUACGGUGUGACGCCUGCCCGGUGCCGGAAGGUUAAUUGAUGGGGUUAGCGGCAACGCGAAGCUCUUGAUCGAAGCCCCGGUAAACGGCGGCCGUAACUAUAACGGUCCUAAGGUAGCGAAAUUCCUUGUCGGGUAAGUUCCGACCUGCACGAAUGGCGUAAUGAUGGCCAGGCUGUCUCCACCCGAGACUCAGUGAAAUUGAACUCGCUGUGAAGAUGCAGUGUACCCGCGGCAAGACGGAAAGACCCCGUGAACCUUUACUAUAGCUUGACACUGAACACUGGUCCUUGAUGUGUAGGAUAGGUGGGAGGCUUUGAAGCGUGGACGCCAGUCUGCGUGGAGCCGUCCUUGAAAUACCACCCUUUAAUGGCUGGUGUUCUAACGUAGACCCGUGAUCCGGGUUGCGGACAGUGUCUGGUGGGUAGUUUGACUGGGGCGGUCUCCUCCCAAAGAGUAACGGAGGAGCACGAAGGUUAGCUAAUCCUGGUCGGACAUCAGGAGGUUAGUGCAAUGGCAUAAGCUAGCUUGACUGCGAGAGUGACGGCUCGAGCAGGUGCGAAAGCAGGUCAUAGUGAUCCGGUGGUUCUGAAUGGAAGGGCCAUCGCUCAACGGAUAAAAGGUACUCCGGGGAUAACAGGCUGAUACCGCCCAAGAGUUCAUAUCGACGGCGGUGUUUGGCACCUCGAUGUCGGCUCAUCACAUCCUGGGGCUGAAGUAGGUCCCAAGGGUAUGGCUGUUCGCCAUUUAAAGUGGUACGCGAGCUGGGUUUAGAACGUCGUGAGACAGUUCGGUCCCUAUCUGCCGUGGGCGCUGGAGAAUUGAGGGGGGCUGCUCCUAGUACGAGAGGACCGGAGUGGACGCAUCACUGGUGUUCGGGUUGUCAUGCCAAUGGCACUGCCCGGUAGCUAAAUGCGGAAAAGAUAAGUGCUGAAAGCAUCUAAGCACGAAACUUGCCCCGAGAUGAGUUCUCCCUGACCCUUUAAGGGUCCUGAAGGAACGUUGAAGACGACGACGUUGAUAGGUCGGGUGUGUAAGCGCAGCGAUGCGUUGAGCUAACCGAUACUAAUGAACCGUGAGGCUUAACCUUACAACGCCGAAGCUGUU